rnacentral:lncRNA from 10 species
CUGGGUAGGAACGCUGCUGCUGGUUGGCUGGUAGGAGGUGCUGCAGAGAGACCCCUACCUGACUGUCAUCCUCUCUCAGUGGCGAGUCCAUCUAGUUCAGACUCAGACAGGUGGAAGAAGUCAACUCCUAACUAGGGUAUAAUGAAGCAUGAUGGAAGUAUUUGACCCAGCGGCUCUUCUAUACCCAGGAGGCCCUGACUGCCACAUUCACCAGUUGAUUUUCCAGGGAACAUAAUCAGAGGCAGAAUCGUCUGGUGGUUAAAAGUACAAUCUGGAGUUAGACUGCUUGAUUUUCAAUCCCAGCUCUUCCACUCAUCAGCUUUGUUAUCUUAGCCACCCCUGCAGAUGGCUCCUUCAUGAAGAUCUCCCCAUUUGGAACACAACAUCUGUUUCCUGCUGGGACCCUGACUGACACAAGGGUCAAAAUAAGCUCCUCCAUGGGAAGCAUUGAGAGAGGCAGAAAAUAAAGAGAAGGAAGAUAAUACUAUCCAUUCAUUGCAGUCGUCUAUGUGCUAAACACUGUGUGAAGCAUUUUGCAUGUAUUCAAUAAAU